GCUGAUCUCUUUCUUCAGUCUGUAAUUAAGAAGAAGUAUGGCCAAGAUGCAACAAAUGUUGGUGAUGAGGGUGACAUUGCUCUAAUAUCCAGGAGAACAAGGAAGGUCUUGAAUUGCUUAAAACAGCUAUUGCUAAAGCUGGUUACACUGGUAAAGUUGUGAUUGGGAUGGAUGUGGCUGCUUCUGAGUUUUAUGGUAAAGACAAGACUUAUGAUCUAAACUUCAAAGAAGAGAAUAAUGAUGGCUCACAAAAGAUAUCAGGUUAUGACUGAAGGCUCUCAUUUCAUUGGAAAGUUUGGAAGCUACUGCAAGUUCUUUCUACUUGCUAGGGAUGAGAAUAUUUUAGUUUGUGCACAAGAGAAUCUUUUAAGUUUGUGCACAUGAGAAUCUUUCAAGUUUGUAUUUGUUAGGGAUUUGUUAUGUUAGUACUUGUUACUGAC